GCAAGUCGAACGGCAGCACGGGAGCAAUCCUGGUGGCGAGUGGCGAACGGGUGAGUAAUAUAUCGGUACGUGCACAGUCGUGGGGGAUAACGCAGCGAAAGCUGUGCUAAUACCGCAUACGAUCUAUGGAUGAAAGCGGGGGAUCGCAAGACCGCGCGCGAUUGGAGCGGGCGAUAUCAGAUUAGCUAGUUGGUGGGGUAAAGGCCUACCAAGGCGACGAUCUGUAGCUGGUCUGAGAGGACGACC
rnacentral:rRNA from 1 species